UACGUAGGGUGCGAGCGUUGUCCGGAAUUAUUGGGCGUAAAGAGCUCGUAGGCGGUGUGUCACGUCGGCCGUGAAAACCUGCAGCUUAACUGUGGGCGUGCGGUCGAUACGGGCAGACUAGAGUGUGGUAGGGGAGAUCGGAAUUCCUGGUGUAGCGGUGAAAUGCGCAGAUAUCAGGAGGAACACCGGUGGCGAAGGCGGAUCUCUGGGCCAUUACUGACGCUGAGGAGCGAAAGCGUGGGGAGCGAACAGG
rnacentral:rRNA from 1 species